rnacentral:rRNA from 1 species
CUAGGGGCGGCAGCAGUGGGGAAUAUUGGACAAUGGGCGAAAGCCUGAUCCAGCCAUGCCGCGUGUGUGAAGAAGGCCUUCGGGUUGUAAAGCACUUUCAGUGGGGAAGAAAGCCUUGGGGCUAAUACCCUCGAGGAAGGACAUCACCCACAGAAGAAGCACCGGCUAACUCCGUGCCAGCAGCCGCGGUAAUACGGAGGGUGCGAGCGUUAAUCGGAAUUACUGGGCGUAAAGCGCGCGUAGGCGGUCUGAUAAGCCGGUUGUGAAAGCCCCGGGCUCAACCUGGGAACGGCAUCCGGAACUGUCAGGCUAGAGUGCAGGAGAGGAAGGUAGAAUUCCCGGUGUAGCGGUGAAAUGCGUAGAGAUCGGGAGGAAUACCAGUGGCGAAGGCGGCCUUCUGGACUGACACUGACGCUGAGGUGCGAAAGCGUGGGUAGCAAACAGGAUUAGAUACCCUGGUAGUC